rnacentral:lncRNA from 1 species
GUAGGGGAGGAUGCCUCACAACACAUCUUUCCCAAAGAGUUUGAAGCAGCUGAGCCGCCUCUAAAUGCAGAAGUUUCUAUGCUUCUGGAGCAGCAAAAACAACAGAAUGAGAGUGCAGAGGAUGAACAGGAACCCUCAGAGGUCUUCAUGAAAACAUUAACCUAGACAGCCAGUUUUAGUCAUUCCCCAAACAGAGAGACCAUUGCCAGUGUUUGUAGCUUGAUGCUCCAGAGAAAAAUCUUCGUAAGUUUGAGCUGUUUGGCCAACCUUUGCCAAGAGGUCAGCCUUUUCCCAGAGACUGUUGAGGAGUCCAAAGCCCUAAUCCUAAACCUGGCGUGGUUGUUUGAAGAUGAGAAGCUGCAUCAGAUUCUUGAUGAUAUCCAGAUUAAGCACAGCUUUCAAUAUUAA